GACGGAGGGUGCAAGCGUUGCUCGGAAUCACUGGGCAUAAAGGGUGCGUAGGCGGUCUCGCAAGUCUGGCGUGAAAGCCCCAAGGCUCAGCCUUGGAAGUGCGCUCGAAACGGGCGAGGCUGGAGUGCCGGAGGGGAGAGUGGAAUUCCCGGUGUAGCGGUGAAAUGCGUAGAGAUCGGGAGGAACACCGGUGGCGAAGGCGGUUCUCUGGGCAUGGUCCUGACGCUGAGGAGCGAAAGUGUGGGGAGCGAACAGG
rnacentral:rRNA from 1 species